UUUAUAAUUUUGCUCAACAAAACUGGUGAAAAUUCGAUCCGUUUUGUUUUUAUUUAGUUCAGUGAAUGUCAAAUUUUUAUAGAGAGGGAGAAACUCGAUCGAAUUUUUAUAGAAUUCGACAAGAAAUUUGAAUUGUCUUAAGGACAUUAUCUGAACGAUGGCAAUUCAUUAAGAUACGAAAAGACACACUCGUGGAUAUUCAAGAAAUUGAAGAAGAGGAAAUUUAAGGACUGAAAAUUAGACCACGAGAUGUACGACUACUACGAGGGGGCGAAAGGCAGCAACUACUACCUGACGCAACUACAACAACAACAGGCCAGACAUCGCUCGCCUUACUCCCCAGACCGCGUCGGGGACCCCGGGGGUGGUGGGGCAGGGGGGUACGGGUC